ACAGCCAGGAUGUUGGCUUAGAAGCAGCCAUCAUUUAAAGAAAGCGUAAUAGCUCACUGGUCGAGUCGGCCUGCGCGGAAGAUGUAACGGGGCUAAACCAUGCACCGAAGCUGCGGCAGCGACGCUGAUGCGUUGUUGGGUAGGGGAGCGUUCUGUAAGCCUGUGAAGGUGGCCUGUGAGGGUUGCUGGAGGUAUCAGAAGUGCGAAUGCUGACAUAAGUAACGAUAAAGCGGGUGAAAAGCCCGCUCGCCGGAAGACCAAGGGUUCCUGUCCAACGUUAAUCGGGGCAGGGUGAGUCGACCCCUAAGGCGAGGCCGAAAGGCGUAGUCGAUGGGAAACGGGUUAAUAUUCCCGUACUUGGUGUUACUGCGAAGGGGGGACGGAGAAGGCUAUGUUGGCCGGGCGACGGUUGUCCCGGUUUAAGCGUGUAGGUGUGUGUUCCAGGUAAAUCCGGUUCACUUUAACACUGAGGCGUGAUGACGAGGCACUACGGUGCUGAAGCAACAAAUGCCCUGCUUCCAGGAAAAGCCUCUAAGCAUCAGGUAACAUCAAAUCGUACCCCAAACCGACACAGGUGGUCAGGUAGAGAAUACCAAGGCGCUUGAGAGAACUCGGGUGAAGGAACUAGGCAAAAUGGUGCCGUAACUUCGGGAGAAGGCACGCUGACAC
rnacentral:rRNA from 1 species